rnacentral:rRNA from 1 species
GACGAACGCUGGCGGCGUGCCUAAUACAUGCAAGUUGAGCGCUGAAGGUUGGUACUUGUACCAACUGGAUGAGCAGCGAACGGGUGAGUAACGCGUGGGGAAUCUGCCUUUGAGCGGGGGACAACAUUUGGAAACGAAUGCUAAUACCGCAUAAAAACUUUAAACACACGUUUUACGUUUGAAAGAUGCAAUUGCAUCACUCAAAGAUGAUCCCGCGUUGUAUUAGCUAGUUGGUGAGGUAAAGGCUCACCAAGGCGAUGAUACAUAGCCGACCUGAGAGGGUGGUCGGCCAGACUGGGCUGGGGACACGGCCCAAACUCGUACGGGAGGCAGCAGUAGGGAAUCGUCGGCAAUGGACGAAAGUCUGACCGAGCAACGCCGCGUGGGUGAAGAAGGGUGUCGGAUCGUAAAGCUCUGUUGGUAGAGAAGAACGUUGGUGAGAGUGGAAAGCUCAUCAAGUGACGGUAACUACACAGAAAGGGACGGCUAACUACGUG